rnacentral:rRNA from 1 species
CCUACGGGAGGCAGCAGUGAGGAAUAUUGGUCAAUGGGCGGAAGCCUGAACCAGCCAAGUAGCGUGCGGGAUGAAGGCCCUACGGGUCGUAAACCGCUUGUGCACGGGGAUAACACCCACCACGUGUGGAGGUCUGCAGGUACCGUGCGAAUAAGGGCCGGCUAAUUCCGUGCCAGCAGCCGCGGUAAUACGGAAGGCCCGAGCGUUAUCCGGAUUCAUUGGGCUUAAAGGGAGCGUAGGCGGGCGUUCAAGUCAGCUGUAAAAUCGCGCGGCUCAACCGCGCCCCGCAGUUGAAACUGGCCGCCUUGAGUUCACCACAGGCCGGCUGCAUUCGUGGUGUAGCGGUGACAUGCAUAGCUCUCCCGAGGCACCCCGAUUGCGAAGGCAGCCUGCCGGGGUGCGACUGACGCUGAGGCUCGAAGGUGCGGGUAUCAAACAGGAUUAGAUACCCUUGUAGUC